CAGUAGCCGCGGGAAUACGAAGGGGGCUAGCGUUGUUCGGAAUCACUGGGCGUAAAGCGCACGUAGGCGGACACUUAAGUCAGAGGUGAAAUCCCAAGGCUCAACCUUGGAACUGCCUUUGAUACUGGGUGUCUUGAGUUCGGGAGAGGUGAGUGGAACUGCGAGUGUAGAGGUGAAAUUCGUAGAUAUUCGGAAGAACACCAGUGGCGAAGGCGACUCACUGGACGCGUAUUGACGCUGAGGUGCGAAAGCGUGGGGAGCAAACAGGAUUAGAUACCCGGGUAGUCCCUGUCUCUUAUAC
rnacentral:rRNA from 1 species